CAAUAGCGUAUAUUUAAGUUGUUGCAGUUAAAAAGCUCGUAGUUGGAUUUCGGGUGGGACGCAGCGGUCUCGCAUUGCGUUUGUACUGCUGCAGCCCUCCUUCUUGCCGGGGGCGGCCUCUCGGACUUCACUGUCUGGGGGUCAGAAUCGGCGAUGUUACUUUGAGUAAAUUAGAGUGUUCAAAGCAAGCUUACGCUCUGAAUAUAAUAGCAUGGGAUAACACGACAGGACUCUGGCCUAUCGUGUUGGUCUAUAGGACCAGAGUAAUGAUUAAGAGGGACAGUCGGGGGCAUUCGUAUUCCGUUGUCAGAGGUGAAAUUCUUGGAUUUACGGAAGACGAACAUCUGCGAAAGCAUUUGCCAAGGAUGUUUNCAUUAA
rnacentral:rRNA from 1 species